rnacentral:tRNA from 1 species
GUCUAGAGGCCUAGGACACCGCCCUUUCACGGCGGUAACAGGGGUUCGAAUCCCCUAGGGGACGCCA